rnacentral:rRNA from 1 species
CCUACGGGAUGCAGCAGUGAGGAAUAUUGGUCAAUGGGCGCGAGCCUGAACCAGCCAAGUCGCGUGAGGGAAGACGGUCCUAUGGAUUGUAAACCUCUUUUGUCGGGGAGCAAAAGACGCCACGCGUGGCGUUCCGAGAGUACCCGAAGAAAAAGCAUCGGCUAACUCCGUGCCAGCAGCCGCGGUAAUACGGAGGAUGCGAGCGUUAUCCGGAUGUAUUGGGUUUAAAGGGUGCGCAGGCGGAAGAUCAAGUCAGCGGUAAAAUUGAGAGGCUCAACCUCUGCGAGCCGUUGAAACUGGUUUUCUUGAGUGAGUGAGAGGUAUGCGGAAUGGGUGGUGUAGCGGUGAAAUGCAGAGAUAUCACGCAGAACUCCAAUUGCGAAGGCAGCAUACCGGCGCUCAACUGACGCUCAUGCACGAAAGUGUGGGUAUCGAACAGGAUUAGAUACCCGAGUAGUC